rnacentral:rRNA from 1 species
CGCCUGAGUAGUAUGCUCGCAAGAGUGAAACUUAAAGGAAUUGACGGGAACCCGCACAAGCGGUGGAGCAUGUGGUUUAAUUUGAAGAUACGCGUAGAACCUUACCCACUCUUGACAUCCUCGCAAAACUAUAGAGAUAUAGCGGAGGCUAACGAGAUGACAGAUGGUGCAUGGUUGUCGUCAGCUCGUGUCGUGAGAUGUUAGGUUAAGUCCUGCAACGAGCGCAACCCUUUUCUUUAGUUGCUAACAUUAAGUUGAGAACCCUAGAGAUACUGCCGGUGCAAACCGGAGGAAGGCGGGGAUGACGUCAAAUCAUCAUGCCUCUUACGAGUGGGGCAACACACGUGCUACAAUGGCUACUACAAAGAGCAGCGAAACAGUGAUGUCAAGCUAAUCUCAAAAAAGUAGUCUCAGUUCGGAUUGAAGUCUGCAACUCGACUUCAUGAAGUCGGAAUCGCUAGUAAUCGCAGGUCAGCUAUACUGCGGUGAAUACGUUCUCGGGUUUUGUACACACCGC